rnacentral:rRNA from 1 species
CCUACGGGCGGCUGCAGUGGGGAAUAUUGGACAAUGGGGGCGACCCUGAUCCAGCCAUGCCGCGUGUGUGAAGAAGGCCCUCGGGUUGUAAAGCACUUUCAGUGAGGAAGAACGCCUGGUGGUUAAUACCCAUCAGGAAAGACAUCACUCACAGAAGAAGCACCGGCUAACUCCGUGCCAGCAGCCGCGGUAAUACGGAGGGUGCGAGCGUUAAUCGGAAUUACUGGGCGUAAAGCGCGCGUAGGUGGCUUGAUAAGCCGGUUGUGAAAGCCCCGGGCUCAACCUGGGAACGGCAUCCGGAACUGUCAAGCUAGAGUGCAGGAGAGGAAGGUAGAAUUCCCGGUGUAGCGGUGAAAUGCGUAGAGAUCGGGAGGAAUACCAGUGGCGAAGGCGGCCUUCUGGACUGACACUGACACUGAGGUGCGAAAGCGUGGGUAGCAAACAGGAUUAGAUACCCUAGUAGUC